AACUCACCAAACUUUAGUUUUACCAAGAUUCUUAUUUUACUAGGCUCAAAACGUGCCCUUAACCUCUAGCUUCUAAUAGGUACAAGAUCCUAGAGAGGAAGUUGUUCAAGCAUGGUACAUGGAUAACAGUGAUGAAGAUCAGAGACUCCCCCAUCACCGGGAACCAAAGGAGUUUGUAUCCCUAGAUCAACUUACUGGACUUCUGUGAAGUUUGCCCAGAAAAGCUGCCUAAUUAUGAAGAGAAGAUCAAGAAUUUUUUUGAGGAACACCUUCACACUGAUGAGGAGAUACGCUACUGUGUGGCAGGAAGUGGUGAAGUUAGAUACACUUUUUAUUUUAUUGCCGUCACUUUUCCAAAAGGAAAAUGAUCAGGUUUUUAACUGCUUGAUUUUGGUGAAGGUUAUUUUGAUGUCAGGGAUCAUAACGACAAGUGAAUUCGUGUUUGGUUAAAGAAGGGGGGAAUGAUUGUUUUGCCUGCUGGAAUUUAUCACCGCUUUACUCUGGAUGCAAACAACUACAUCAAAGUAUUGAUGUCAUACAUGCACGCACACAAAAGCAGCUUGUCUACAUGUUGACAGGAAAAAAAAAAAAAAAGAAGGAUUAACUUUGAAAGAUCUUCAUUCCACAAUACUUGUGAUAUGCACAAUAGUUGCCAAUAUAUCGAUACAUCUGUCAAGAGACAUUUGCCUUGCAUGACAAGGACUUAUAUGGAGAGGACUCAUGUUAUCAUAAUGAAACACAUUACUUCUUAUGUUUCCCUUAGUUAUUGCUAAUUACUAUAUGGUAAUUCAAAUUUGGUACAUUAGUGUUGGUGGCGCAAUUUGCUAUUGAUAUAAACUAUGCUGCUCUUAAUCUAAGGAGCACAUACACGACCGCAUGAUGAAUAUGUGCACAUGCUAGGCAUGUCUUAGACCUGUUCAAUUACAUUGAUUUUACUUUGGAACCAUGAGACGUUAGUUUCACAUGCCUUGGAGACGUUGACGUGCUUAAGAUGCCUUUCACCAUGAGUGUGAACUUCCUUUCAAGAAGGCUCACCAGCUCUUAGUAUCCUUUUAUAUCUUUACCUAAGAGAUGUUUCUCCUAAGCUUAUUUAUUCAGGCAAUGCGGCUGUUUGUUGGUGAUCCAGUCUGGACUCCAUUUAAUCGUCCUCAUGAUCAUCUGCCUGCAAGGAAGGAGUAUAUUAAAGCUUUUGUGGAGAAAGAAAUUGGCGAUCAUGCUGUUAACGCUGCAGCCUGAAUUCUUUAUUAACUUCUAAAAUUGGACUUAAAAAUGAAAAUGUUGUAGCCUGCUGCCUACUACAGUUUCCUGUGCUUGUAUGCUGCAUCUCUCUCUCUUUGCUAGCCUGUUUCCUUACCAUUCCCGUUUAGAACGCUUAGCUACAAGACAUACUUUCUUCCAAUUUUCUGUACAUGGAUACGCACUUCUAAAUAUGGAAUAAGUUUUUUGUAACCUGGUUGUAUUAUAAUGCAUGCACGUCUCGGG